rnacentral:tRNA from 1 species
AGAAAGCUAGUCUAAAGCAAGACAGUUGAUUUCGACUCAACAAAUCAUAGCUUACCCUAUGGCUCUCUC